UACGUAGGUGACAAGCGUUAUCCGGAAUUACUGGGCGUAAAGCGCACGCAGGCGGCGCAUUAAGUCUGACGUGAAAUCUCCUGGCUUAACUGGGAGGGGUCGUUGGAAACUGGUGUGCUUGAGGCGAUGAGAGGGGUGUAGAAUUCCCGGUGUAGUGGUGGAAUGCGUAGAUAUCGGGAGGAAUACCAGUGGCGAAAGCGACACCCUGGCAUUAGCCUGACGCUCAUGUGCGAAGACGUGGGGAGCGAACGGG
rnacentral:rRNA from 1 species